rnacentral:rRNA from 1 species
CCUACGGGAGGCAGCAGUGGGGGAUAUUGCACAAUGGGGGAAACCCUGAUGCAGCGACGCCGCGUGUGGGAAGACGGUCCUCUGGAUUGUAAACCACUGUCCCCAGGGACGAAGAUGACGGUACCUGGGGAGGAAGCUCCGGCCAACUACGUGCCAGCAGCCGCGGUAAUACGCAGGGGGCGAGGGUUUGCCGGAAUUACUGGGGGUAAAGGGAGCGUAGGCGGGACUGGAAGUUGGGUGUCAAAUCUACCGGCUCAACCGGUAGCCGCACUCAAAACUGCAGGUCUUGAGUGAAGUAGAGGCAGGCGGAAUGCCUGGUGUAGCGGUGAAAUGCGUAGAUAUUGGGAAGAACACCGGUGGCGAAGGCAGCCUGCUGGGCUUUUACUGACGCUGAGGCUCGAAAGUGUGGGGAGCGAACAGGAUUAGAUACCCUUGUAGUC